UACGAAGGGGGCUAGCGUUGCUCGGAAUCACUGGGCGUAAAGGGUGCGUAGGCGGAUCGUUAAGUCGGGGGUGAAAUCCUGGAGCUCAACUCCAGAACUGCCUUCGAUACUGGCGAUCUUGAGUCCGGAAGAGGUGAGUGGAACUCCUAGUGUAGAGGUGGAAUUCGUAGAUAUUAGGAAGAACACCAGUGGCGAAGGCGGCUCACUGGUCCGGUACUGACGCUGAGGUGCGAAAGCGUGGGGAGCAAACAGG
rnacentral:rRNA from 1 species